AGCUUAGUUGGUCAGAGCAUUGGCGCGUAAAGCCAAAGGUCCCGGGUUCGAUUCCCGU
rnacentral:tRNA from 1 species